AUGGGGUCCGGUUCCAAGGCUGCUUCAAGGAAGUCGACGGCGUCGUGGUCGUCGUCGUCCUCGUGGAGGUCACUCCUCCACGGUUGCCUCGGCGGGACCAUGGCGGCUGGGGAGAACGUCCCGGCAAGCGACGGGUUGGCGGAGCAGCCACUGCCGAUCGUCACGAACCACGACCUGCCGCUGGCGGCGUCCAACUCCAACCUGCACGCCUUCACGUUCGCGGAGCUGAGCGCAGCGACCGAGGGGUUCGCCUGCUGCAACCAGAUCGGCAGCGGCGAGUUCGGGACGGCGUACAGGGGAUUCAUCGUGGACGGUGUCCGGCCGGGGCUCCCCGCGCAGCUCGUCGCCGUCAAGCGGACACGGUGGCGAGUCGACGACUACGUCCAGGGAAUGGUGAAGGAGGCGAUGUUCCUUGGGGAGCUGCAGCUGCGGCAUCCCUGCCUGGUGAAGAUGAUCGGCUACUGCUGUGAGGAGGAGCACAGGCUCCUGGUCUACGAGUUCAUGGCCCAUGGCAGCUUGGACGACUACUUCUUCAAGCCUUUUUAUCGUCCUUUGCUGCCAUGGUCAACCAGACUAAGCAUUGUCUUAGCUACGGCGAAAGGGCUGGUGUCCCUCCACAGCGCCGAGAAGCCCUUGAUCUGCGGCGAAUUCAAUGCCUCCGACAUCCUACUGGACUCUGAUAACAAUGCCAAGAUCUCGCUCUCAGGCCUGAGGCUCGACACGAGAGCGAGCGACGGCUCGGUCACCACCACGCGCUCGCGCCUAGGAACUCCGCGCGGCAGCGCACCAGAGUACGUCGUGUCCGGCCAUCUCACCACGAAAUGCGACGUGUACAGCUUCGGGGUGUUGUUGUUGGAGAUUCUGAUCACAGGGAUGAAGUGGAUAGACAUGAAAAGACCAGAGGAGCGGGACCUGCUGGAGCACGCGCGGCCGAAUCUCGAAGACCCGGUUAAACUGGCAGGGAUCAUGGAUAAAGCGUUGAAGGGCAUCUACCCAGUGGCAGCUGCACACAAGGCUGCCCUGGUCACAUACAAGUGUCUCCAUGUCAAACCCGAGGACAGGCCAGACAUGUCGGACGUCAUGAAGACGCUGGAUCUGCUUACCGCGCACCUCCAUAGACCGACACACGGCCCGGAGCUUCACCGCGCAGCCGCCGGCGAACGCCGCCACCGCCGGCACGCCUCCGGCAAGGGGACGACACCCAAGAUGAACCAGCUCAUGAUACCAAUUGUAGCUAACUCACGUGAGCACGGACUGAUGCCGGCACACACACCCGUGCCCACCACGGACCAGACCUGGCGCGUCGACGCCGGUCACCAUCACAUGGGCACGGACAUGGCUUAUUGCCAACACUCCGAGCGCAGCCCGUCGCCGUCAAGAGAGCGCGAGCCGACGACUACCACUCCGAGGAACAUCUGGUACAUGAUCGGCUACUGCUACGAGGGGCUGCACAGGCUUCUCGUCUACGAGCUAAUGGGCCAUGGCAGCUUGGCAAACUACCUCUCCAACGAUAUCCGUGUUGUGUUGUCAUGGUCAACACGGUUAAGCAUUGCUCUAGCUACCGCGAAAGGGUUGUUGUCCCUCCAUGUUGAAGAGAAGCCAUUGAUCUCCGUCAAAUUUAACGCCUCCAACAUCUUACUAGACUCGUAUAACAAUGUCAAGCUAUCAGACCUGUGGUUCGCCAGAAAAUACGGGAAAGGUGACGAUCCUAACGUGUACACACUCAUAACAAGUGGGUACGGCUUUGCGCCGGAGUACGUCAUGUCCGGGGACUUCACCAAGAAGAGCGACGUGUAUUGCUUCGGAGUGGUGUUACUGGUGAUCCUAACUGGGCAGAGGUUGGCCUGGUUGGCCUGUGCUUCAGAACAGAACCUACGGAACCUACGACCACGCCUAAGAGACCCGCUCAAGCUAGGGAGGGUCAUGGACCCGGUGUUGAAAGAAAUUUACCCGGUGGCAGCGGCACAUGAUGCUUGCAUGGUUGCGUAUAGGUGCCUUCACGCAAGCCCCGGGAAACGUCCAAGCAUGUUGGCUGUUGUGGAGGCACUUGAUUUGCUUGUUGGUGUCACCGUCACGAACGAGGUCGAUGUUGGUCAGACAAGCACAAGGCCGUGA
rnacentral:rRNA from 1 species